AUUUGGUGAUGGGGGCAGCUAGCACAUAGUCUCUUAAACUUCUCCCAUUAGUCAUACAAAGUUUCACCACUCUCUUGGUGAAUCCCACAGAUUUCUUUUCUAAUACU